rnacentral:rRNA from 1 species
UACGUAGGGAGCAAGCGUUGUCCGGAAUCAUUGGGCGUAAAGCGCGCGUAGGUGGCCCCAUAAGUCCGCUGUGAAAACUCGAGGCUCAACCUCGAGACGCCGGUGGAAACCGUAAGGCUAGAGUCCGGAAGAGGAGAGUGGAAUUCCUGGUGUAGCGGUGAAAUGCGCAGAUAUCAGGAGGAACACCCGUGGCGAAAGCGGCUCUCUGGGACGGUACUGACGCUGAGACGCGAAAGCGUGGGGAGCAAACAGG